rnacentral:misc_RNA from 1 species
GACGUCAAGGAGGAGGAG